GGUGAGAUGGCCGAGCGGUCCAAGGCGCCAGACUAAGGUAGCGCGAAUGCAGAAACCUGUUAUCUGGUCUCUCCGGAGGCGGGGGUUCGAAUCCCCCUCUCAUCA